UAGAAUUCAACGAAUCAUGUUUCAUUCUUAGAAUGAUUUUCUCCUUAAUUCAUAAAUCUAAUCAGCUUAUAUUUGUUUAUAGAUGAUUGGCCUCACAAAGCCAACUUCUGGUGCAGCCUAUGUUCAAGGCCUCGACAUGAGAAAUCAUAUGGAUGGAAUAUAUACUAGCAUGGGAGUAUGUCCACAGCAUGACUUGCUGUGGGAAAGCUUAACAGGUAGAAAGCACCUACUUUUUAUGGAAGACUUAAAAAUCUUACAGGUUCACUCUUGACUCAUGCGGUAGAAGAAUCUUUGAAGAGUUUAAACCUUUACCAUGGAAGAAUUGCUGAUAAACAAGCUGAAAAAUACAGUGGAGGGAUGAAGAGGAGGAUCAGUGUUGCAAUUUCAAGGUUGCUUAUUAAAUCUCUGUUUCUUCUCUGCUACUUUCCUUUAUCUUGAGAAUACGAGCUUCAAUGUUGGAAGGAAAUUAUUGAUAUGUGUGAUAAUUCUGUUGGGCUGAGCCGACAAUUGAAGGGAUCAAUUAUCCCAUCAGAACGUCCAAAGCAUAUGAUGUUUAAGGAAUCGUAGGUGUAAUAACUGCAGAAGGUGGGCCUCAGCUCUUCUUUCAAUGGUUUCUUCAUUACCGGAGGUACCGCUUUAUUGCCUGGCCUAUUUAAACAAACCUGAGAUUCCUGUCUUACUUAUGAAACUAUAGGUGCAGUGCUGCACAGUGCAAUAUUACCAAUAUAUUGAAUCAUGUCGCAUAGCUGUUAAACCGAAAUGUUGUGAUCAAUGUACCAAACAACACCAAAUCGGGGCCAAAAUAAUCAUGCGAAAUGUCAUCACCAUGAAGGUCGCAUAUACAAUUUCAUAGGAGAAGUUUUCCGAUCUCAUACAGAAAGAAGAAUUCAAAAGAGUGAUAGCAUCGAUGCGAUCUCAUAGCAGGCAUGGUGUUGAUUGAAGGGAUCUAGAGGCAGAUGCCUUUGUAGAAAAUGGAAGGAUGGUGGAAUACUUAUUUGGUAAAGACGGAAAAGGUUGCCUCGGACAUGAUAAAUUUGUGCAGUUUAUAAGAGAUCUUAUAUAUAAUUGUGUAUGUAAACUAAUUACAAUUUUGUGUAUAGAUAUUGAGGCUGGAGUUUGUUCA